rnacentral:rRNA from 1 species
AUUCGGAGGAUCCGAGCGUUAUCCGGAUUUAUUGGGGUUAAAGGGAGCGUAGGUGGAUAGUUAAGUCAGUUGUGAAAGUUUGCGGCUCAACCGUAAAAUUGCAGUUGAUACUGGCUGUCUUGAGUACAGUAGAGGUGGGCGGAAUUCGUGGUGUCGCGGUGAAAUGCUUAGAUAUCAGGAAGAACUCCGAUUGCGAAGGCAGCUCACUGGACUGCAACUGACACUGAGGCUCGAAAGUGUGGGUAUCAAACAGGAUUAGAUACCCUGGUAGUCCACACAGUAAACGAUGAAUACUCGCUGUUUGCGAUAUACAGCAAGCGGCCAAGCGAAAGCAUUAAGUAUUCCACCUGGGGAGUACGCCGGCAACGGUGAAACUCAAAUGAAUUGGCGGGG